rnacentral:rRNA from 1 species
GUCCAUGCCGUAAACUAUGCAUACAAGCUGUAGUGGGGUUUUUCUCCUGCUGUGGCGAAGCUAACGCAAUUAGUAUGCCGCCUGGGGAGUACGGUCGCAAGACUAAAACUCAAAGGAAUUGACGGGGGCCCCGCACAAGCGGUGGAUUAUGUGGUUUAAUUCGAAGCAACGCGCAGAACCUUACCUAUGCUUGACAUCCCUUGACAAACGUGGAAACACGUCUUUGUAGCAAUACACAAGGAGACAGGUGCUGCAUGGCUGUCGU